rnacentral:lncRNA from 13 species
AUGCCAGAUUUAGGGGUGGAGAAAAGAACAGACCACACAGCAGCUGUUUUAAAUGUAAAGAAGGAGCAGCUCAUAAGUGAAGCACAUCUUCUGAUAAGGUAUGUCCAUGGAAUGUCUUGUGUCACUUCAGCUUCUAAUUUUAAUACUUCAAUUUUAAUAGAAUUUGUGACCAAUUACCUUUGUGAUGGAUGGAGUCUCCCUCUGUUGUCAGGCUGGAGUGCAGUGACGCAAUCUCAGCUCACUGCAACCUCUGCCUCCCGGAUUCAAGCAAUUCUCUUGCCUCAGCCUCCCAAGCAGAUGGAACUACAGGCAUGUACCACCAUGCCCAGCUAAAUUUUGUAUUUCUAGUAUAGAUAGGGUUUCACACCAUGUUGGCCAGGAUGGUCUCUAUCUCUUGACCUUGUGAUCCACCUGCAUUGGCCUCCCAAAGUGCUGGGAUUACAGAUGUGAGCCACUGCACCCUGCCAACUCAACACUGCUUUUACAAAUUUUUACUUUGGG